UCACCUCCUCAUUCAACCAGGAAGUGCACACUGCGAAAACGUCUGUAUGGCUGCCACUCCUGUUAUGCUGCUGUAUUGAGGAUGACGAUGAUAAUUUUAUUUUGCUUGAUUCAGCUGGGCUUCACAUAUCAUACAGCUGGGUCCUCUAAGUACUCUGUAACUGGAGGAUCUGUCACUCUGGAGUUCAAGCAGGACCAGGAGCCCCUGGAGCAGAAGGGCAUAGAAAUCAUAGAGUGGCACUUUGGCCCUGUCAGAAUAAUUAGAUAUCUUCGCAGGAGAGACACUGUUGAAGUAUUCAACCAUGAAGGCAGAGUGGAGUUUAAUAAGGAGACCUUCUCUCUGGAGCUGAAGAACCUGCAGAAGAGUGACAGUGGACUCUACAGAGGAGAGAUCAUUGCAGGAAGAGACGUUCAUGUUAAUUACACACUCUCUGUUCUGGAUCCAGUAGAGGCCCCUGUCCUGUCUGUUGUCUCUAACCAAUCUCUUGGUGAUUUUUCUAAUGUGACCUGCAGAGGUGGUGACCUCUCUCUGACCUCGACUUGUAAUGACAUCAUCUCCUCUCCAGAGAGAAAAGCCUCCACUGACUUCACUCUCUCACUCUCUGUCAGAGAUGCUCUUGUCAUCUGUAACUAUAGCAACGCAGCGAACUUUAGCACUGACACAAGGCAGAUCAAACUGCUAUGUCCUAUUUAUGAAGGACAAAAUCUGACUGCUGUGAUUGUGGGUUCUGUGGUUAUUGCCAUUCUUACCAUUGCUGUAUUUCUAGUGGUAUGGUGUCGGUGGAGACAAGUGGUAUCAGACAAAUAUUCCACAGAGUAUGGCACGGUUAAGGAUCCAAAAGAAACACCCAGUGGAGAAGAUGCAACACAUCAGGGUUCUCUAAGCAUAGAGCCACCAAACACCACACUCUACAGCCUACCACACUCCCAUCAGCCUGACUCAGCUGGUGAGAAUCUAGAGAACUGUCCAGCUCCAGAGUCUGGUACCACUGUCUACAGCCAAGUGAAAAAGCCAAGUGUUGCUGUGGUGAGGAAGACAUAACCUAGAGUCAUACAAACUGUAGUAGUUUUGAGUGUGAAACAAAUACCAUCACAAUAUCAUUUGAAGUGUGUAGUAAAUCCCAUCUACAGUAAAGUGGAACACACAGCUUGAACAGAUUAGAAUCACCAGAGCAUAUUUAUCUGUGAGAAACUGAACUUGGUUCAGAACUUACCGUUCUCACUAUCCCAUUCCCAUUGCACCACAAGCACAGGCAAGAGGGAAAGAGACUCAUUUAUUCGCACACACACGCACAUACUCUCCUGCUGAUGUUAUACCAGUCAGCCCAGCAGAGGAUGCCAUGCGACUUGACUGGUCUGUUGAGGAAAGCUGACCCUGGUUGACAUGAAGCUGGAGUUUGUAACAUCAGUGUCAGAGAGAAGGACUCUGAACAAGCUGCUGUCAUGCAUGCACAGUAAAUUCACCGGGCAGAGGAAUAUGUUCAGUGGCAAAUUCUUGUUGCAGUGAUGGUUAAGAGACUGAUGAAGUCUUGUGUCCCCCUUUAACUUGUGAUGAGAAGCAACUCACUUAGCACUGCCCCCCACCCCUACACGUCUGCCAACUGCUGUUAUCCGUUCCUAGCCCAUACAUAAUUUGCUGAUUUUAUAUGGUAUUUCAUGUUUAUUCAAAUUUUAGCAUGUAUUAUAGCACAUAUGAUUAACAAUUUGUAACGUUGAUUUCUAUUUUGGUUUACAAAUUUACCAAGUAGGCUACUUUAUUUUAUAAUAAUUCUUAUUUUUGCAAUUUAUGUAAGUACAGUUUAGUUUUCAUACACUGAAAAAAAAGAAUCGCUGGAUGUACAUCGGUUACACAUGAAUAAAUGUUACGUUUACUGAUUCAUGCUGUGUUAACCUAAUUUGAUGAAGUAGUGUCAGUGAAAUUGAUUAAGUGAAGUUUAUAUUAAGUAUUUAUGCAAUGUCAACGUCAUUCUGUUAUACAGGUGGCAUGAAGGCAUUCAGAUGUAGGCUACUUAGUAUUGCAACAUCAAUGUAAAAGGACAACUUUGAGUAUGGUGUGCCCCACAGGAAGCAUUCAUUGAAGUUGAAAACAUGUGUAAUGGAACUAAUGAUACUUUGCAUGCUCAAUACGCAUUCAUGGUGGGAACAAAUCAUAGUUUAUCUCAAAGCAUAACAAAGAUACAAUUCAGCUCCAAAUUCUGCAUAGUCCUCUUUAAGAAACUCAAAUGAAAACUUUUGGAAACACUGUUAGCUGCAUAACUAUCUCAGUGUUCUUGCAAAGGCUCACAAUGAAACACAAUGAAAUGGUGACACCAAGACAACUCAUGUGUUCCUUUGCCUUACUGGUUCAGGUGCUUCACAUUGAUCUAACACAGUGUGUCCACGGGGUCUUAAAAAGUCUAAAAAAGUCUAAAAUGACACAUUUUCAAUUUUAGGCCUUAAAAAGUCUAAAAUAUAGAGAUAUUUUGCACUGUAAGUCUAAAAUUGAGUUUGAGUAAUUUAAGACCUACGUUUCAAUGGAAAAUAUCGACAAAGGAUUAAUGUUUUUUUGUUUUGUUUUACGUCCUUUUCCACGCCGUUCUGUUUUUUUUUCUGUUAUGGUGGCAGUUAUGGUCCGUGUAGUUCUACAUGACAUGUUGCUGUUAGUGGAACGUAAUAAUAAAACUACAGAUGUGAAACCGUAAUGUACUGUCGUCACAGGAUGCAGGAUGGCUUGUUAUUUCUUUUUUUUAAUACUUUGUGAAGGUCUUAAAUUUAACCCAUGAUGGUCUAAAAAAGGUCUAAAAAAGUCUAAAAUUCCACUUGUUAAAACCUGCAGACACCCUGCUAACAUAAUUCUGUUGGAUAAACUCAUUGCUGUCAAAAUAUGUCAGUUAAACGUAAUAACAUUGUGUUUUAUAGAAAAACAUGAGUUUGUUUCAUUUCAUGUUUUGUAUGGUAAAUGUGACAACCCUUCUUUUCCUUUGCCCCCGUAGGCUACUUGAUUCAAUUAGAAAAAAAUGGAUUACUCAAUUGGAAUGACUAUUUGAACACAAUAAGGUUGUGUUUCAUUCAAAACUAGACUGUUUUAAGUCAUUGUAACAUAAUAUUGUUUGAUAAAUUGGACAGCCCUGACCUUUCCUUUUUUACCGUGUAUGCUGCUGUGAGCAAGAUGUAGAAACGGUGUUUAGCUAAAGCCUUUUUACCGUAAUCAUUUAUAAAUAUAUAGCAAUACCACACAUAUUAACCAAAUUAGUUAAAAUGUAACGGUGAGCGCUUUAUAGCAGUCUGUCAACUGAUCAGCAUUUCCUCUAAAACAAAGGUUACACAUUUUAGCAUUCUUGAGGGUUUUUUUGUAUAAUAAAAAUAUUGUGUACAUUCUCGAUGUCUUUUCAUUUUGAGGCAUAAAAUGGCCCCACCAUGUUAGGAAUAUGAACAGGGUACAGACAAGUGUCGAAGGACUUACAACAAAGUCCAUAACAGAAACAGGAAGUUUGGUCAUUGUGUGACAGUGGUGUGUGUUGCUUGG